rnacentral:lncRNA from 1 species
UUGUUUAGGCUUAAAUAGAGUUUUUUUCAUCCUUUACCUUUGACAAAAAAUGUGUGUUUGAUCCUUUAUCUUAUUUUUAAUAAGUUUUGGUCUUCUAUCUUUUAAAAAUGUGUUGUUGUAGUUUGUGAGUCUGAAACAUAACAUAAGUUAACAAAAGUUGAAUACGUUGACGGUGUUAACAUUUUACCCAUAUUCUAACAUAUUUUGUAGUGAUUCAGAGCAAAGGAAUGAAAGCCCAAAACUGCCAGCACGAUUCAAGUCAAAAAUUUAAGCCGAGAACACCUCACUUGGCGAGUGAUGGCGGUUUAAAGCCCCACGUAAUUGAGUUGGAAGAAACUUAUUGGUGAGAAAAGGUUCAUUCACCUAGCCAUCAAUGCAUUUGUCUGGAGAAUUUUCAGUAGUUGUCUUCAUUCUUUGUUUAGUUUUAGAGAGAGAUACUAAGAACUAAGCGAAUUAGCUCGAGUGAUUAAUGAACUCUAUGUGAGAUGAAUCGUUUGGGAGAAACUGAGCUUGAUUCUUAGUGGAAAUAAUUAUUGGUCAGACUUUACUUACCUCUCGGUCAAACUUCGGGUUACUAGAGCUCCCUUCCCCUAAAAACCGGAUGUUAAUACAAAAAAAUAAUAAUAAUACUUGAGAGAGAGAGAGAGCACGUGUAUAUGUAAACAAGGUGGGAAUGUUGGAGGCUUGUAGUUCAAAUCGUUUUAUGCAACAUCUUAUCAUCAUUUUCUUGAUAUUGUUAGUUAUACAAUUACAUGUAAUUAACAUAUGUUUGUGUGAGAUUAGGUGUAGUUGGUUAUGAAUCUAAUGUAAAUACUUGAUAUGAUUGAUUAUAUAUAAAUCACAUCUAAUGUAAAUAGUUGGUUACUAAUACUUCUACUCCUGCACUUGAUGCUUUUU